rnacentral:rRNA from 1 species
AGUGAACGCUGGCGGUAGGCCUAACACAUGCAAGUCGAACGGCAGCACAGUAAGAGCUUGCUCUUACGGGUGGCGAGUGGCGGACGGGUGAGGAAUACAUCGGAAUCUACUUUUUCGUGGGGGAUAACGUAGGGAAACUUACGCUAAUACCGCAUACGACCUACGGGUGAAAGCAGGGGAUCUUCGGACCUUGCGCGAUUGAAUGAGCCGAUGUCGGAUUAGCUAGUUGGCGGGGUAAAGGCCCACCAAGGCGACGAUCCGUAGCUGGUCUGAGAGGAUGAUCAGCCACACUGGAACUGAGACACGGUCCAGACUCCUACGGGAGGCAGCAGUGGGGAAUAUUGGACAAUGGGCGCAAGCCUGAUCCAGCCAUACCGCGUGGGUGAAGAAGGCCUUCGGGUUGUAAAGCCCUUUUGUUGGGAAAGAAAAGCAUCAGGUUAAUACCCCGCUGUUCUGACGGUACCCAAAGAAUAAGCACCGGCUAACUUCGU